AACUGGUCUGAAGGCAGUGAGUUAUCUCCCUUUGAUGGUUCACAGUUAGUUACAGAUAAAACAUCCCUAUUCUAUCCAGAGAGAAAACCCUUUCGCUCCUUCUCGCUACUGCGCUUGAGUAGUCUUUA
rnacentral:Y_RNA from 1 species